ACGAACGCUGGCGGCGUGCUUAACACAUGCAAGUCGAACGGAAAGGCCCUGCUUUUGUGGGGUGCUCGCGUGGCGAACGGGUGAGUAACACGUGAGUAACCUGCCCUUGACUUUGGGAUAACUUCAGGAAACUGGGGCUAAUACCGGAUAGGAGCUCCUGCUGCAUGGUGGGGGUUGGAAAGUUUCGGCGGUUGGGGAUGGACUCGCGGCUUAUCAGCUUGUUGGUGGGGUAGUGGCUUACCAAGGCUUUGACGGGUAGCCGGCCUGAGAGGGUGACCGGCCACAUUGGGACUGAGAUACGGCCCAGACUCCUACGGGAGGCAGCAGUGGGGAAUAUUGCACAAUGGGCGGAAGCCUGAUGCAGCAACGCCGCGUGCGGGAUGACGGCCUUCGGGUUGUAAACCGCUUUCGCCUGUGGCGAAGCGUGAGUGACGGUAAUGGGUAAAGAAGCACCGGCUAACUACGUG
rnacentral:rRNA from 1 species